UACGGGGGGGGCAAGCGUUGUUCGGAAUUACUGGGCGUAAAGCGUGCGCAGGCGGUUGUGCAAGACAGAUGUGAAAUCCCCGGGCUCAACCUGGGAAUUGCAUUUGUGACUGCACGGCUAGAGUGUGUCAGAGGGGGUAGAAUUCCACGUGUGAGCAGUGAAAUGCGUAGAGAUGUGGAGGAAUACCGAUGGCGAAGGCAGCCCCCUGGGAUAACACUGACGCUCAUGCACGAAAGCGUGGGGAGCAAACAGG
rnacentral:rRNA from 1 species